CAGCAGCCGCGGGAAUACGUAGGGUGCAAGCGUUAAUCGGAAUUACUGGGCGUAAAGCGUGCGCAGGCGGUUGUGUAAGACAGGUGUGAAAUCCCCGGGCUUAACCUGGGAAUUGCAUUUGUGACUGCACGACUAGAGUGUGUCAGAGGGGGGUGGAAUUCCACGUGUAGCAGUGAAAUGCGUAGAUAUGUGGAGGAACACCAAUGGCGAAGGCAGCCCCCUGGGAUAACACUGACGCUCAUGCACGAAAGCGUGGGGAGCAAACAGGAUUAGAUACCCCCGUAGUCCCUGUCUCUUAUAC
rnacentral:rRNA from 1 species